CUACGGGAGGCAGCAGUCGGGAAAAUUUUGCAAUACACGAAAGUGUGACAGAGCAAGCCAGAGUGCUUUUCCGUUUUGGAAAAGCUUUUGUGAGAUGUAAACAGUCUCACGAAUAAGGACUGGGCAAGACUGGUGCCAGCCGCCGCGGUAAUCCCAGCAGUCCAAGUCGAAGCCACAAUUAUUGGGUCUAAAACAUCCGUAGCUUGUUUUGUAAGUCUCUUGUGAAAUCUGGCCUCUUAAGGGUCGGGCGUGCAAGAGAUACUGCUUUACUAGAGACCGGGAGACGUAAGAAGUACGAAUGGGGUAACGGUAAAAUGUGUUGAUCCUAUUUGGACUAACAAUAGCGAAGGCAUCUUACGAGAACGGAUCUGACAGUGAGGGAUGAAGGCUAGGGGCGCAAAGUGGAUUAGAUACCCUUGUAGUC
rnacentral:rRNA from 1 species